GCCAAGCGUUAACCAUUCGAAAUAUUUGUCAUUCAGCUAUUUGAUCUGGUAUAUGGAGAAUUUUCAAGAUUUCUAUUCGGUUUGCUCUGGGUGAGAACAAAUCGUAAAAAGAUGCAGCCACAACAGGAAUAAAAAACACUAUGAAAACAUUAUUACAAAGCAAAACGGAUCAAGCAUCUUCGCACAUGGUGUUCAAGAGAUCAUACAGAUGGACCUGAAGACAAUUGACAGAGCCUUUCAUGUCUCCGGCAUAUUGUCCAUGGCACAGUUGGAUAUCUGGAGCCCAAGUAUAUAACUCUGGAGUCCUUUUUCGUGGGUCAAACUGUGGAGUCCUUCUUGAGCUUAUGUCAGGCGUAGGCGUAGAAGCCAUAUCGAAUGAACACUUCCGAGUUCAUUAUACAAGGUAUAUUACUAAUCUGAGCUUUUUAUUUUUUAAUGAACAGGCGUACAAAACAAAGAAAUGUUGCUAAGUGUCGGUCAGGAAAUGGCACUUCUGAGCUGUAGAGUUUGGUUAAAACGUUUUUCAGCAAUAUGCACCAAACUGUGAUCGAGAAUCGUGGAUUAAGGUUCUCGACUUUGUUAGCAGGAUUUUCCAUGGAAGUGUAGUUUUUUUUUGUUGCUAACAUCGAUAGAAGUGUAGUUUUGAGAGGUACGAAGCUGUUAUGUAAUUGUGAGGAUUCUUGAGAAGAUUUGCGGUGGGUUAGCAGAAACAACA